rnacentral:rRNA from 1 species
GACCAUGGCUCAGGAUGAACGCUAGCUACAGGCUUAACACAUGCAAGUCGAGGGGCAGCAUUCCAGUUUGCUUGCAAACUGGAGAUGGCGACCGGCGCACGGGUGAGUAACACGUAUCCAACCUGCCGAUAACUCGGGGAUAGCCUUUCGAAAGAAAGAUUAAUACCCGAUGGCAUAAUAGAACCGCAUGGUUUGAUUAUUAAAGAAUUUCGGUUAUCGAUGGGGAUGCGUUCCAUUAGG